rnacentral:rRNA from 1 species
UACGUAGGUGGCAAGCGUUGUCCGGAUUUAUUGGGUUUAAAGGGUGCGUAGGCGGCCCUGUAAGUCAGCGGUGAAAUACGGCAGCUCAACUGUCGAGGUGCCGUUGAUACUGCGGGGCUUGAGUGUUGAUGAGGCAGGCGGAAUUGACGGUGUAGCGGUGAAAUGCUUAGAUAUCAGGAGGAACACCUGUGGUGUAGACGGCUUUCUGGACCAUAGCUGACGCUGAGGCACGAAAGCGUGGGUAGCAAACAGG